rnacentral:rRNA from 1 species
UGGCUCAGAACGAACGCUGGCGGCAGGCUUAACACAUACAAGUCGAGCGCCCCGCAAGGGGAGCGGCAGACGGGUGAGUGACGCGUGGGAAUCUACCUUUUGCUACGGAAUAACGCAGGGAAACUUGUGCUAAUACCGUAUGUGUCCUUCGGGAGAAAGAUUUAUCGGCAAGUAGAUGAGCCCGCGUUGGAUUAGCUAGUUGGUGGGGUAAAGGCCUACCAAGGCGACGAUCCAUAGCUGGUCUGAGAGGAUGAUCAGCCACAUUGGGACUGAGACACGGCCCAAACUCCUACGGGAGGC